CAAGGUAAGGAAAAAUUUGACUUCUAAGGUUGGGAAUUGGGUCAACUUAUUAUUGUACAGCGUUGCACUUGACUCUCCACACACACACCCGUUUUGCAUUGAAUAAGUGAGAAUUUAACUUUUGCAUUAUAGCUUUGAAGUGGUUCAUGGAAUCAAAGUUAUGUUUUUAAUUCUAAGACAUGAAGGCAAGUUAUCUAGCGAAAUGUAUUUUUAGUGAUUUCGUUUGUCUUGAUUGUGCUUGUGUGUCCGUUAAUUAUUCUUAUGUGCUUUAGUGUUUGCUCGAGGACUAGCAAAUGGUUAAGUUUGGGGGUAUUUGAUGAGUUUGUUUCACUCAUGGUUUUCGCACAUUUUUAGCUUGAUUAAAUAGUAGAUUUUAUGAAUGUAGAACGUUUUUGAUGUGUUUGUUAGUGUUGUUUUGAAGAUAAGGAGAAGCAAUGAGAAAAGAAGUAUUAAAGUGGAUGAAGAGGCCAAAAACACGGAAUUGGGGCAGAA
rnacentral:lncRNA from 1 species